rnacentral:lncRNA from 1 species
AUAUAUUUACAAAUCUGUUCAAAUAUUUAACCUCUUAACUUGCUAAAUAUCCCCCUCUUCUCCCUUUCUUUCUCUCUUGCGCUCUCCCCUCUCCCCCUUUCUGCCCUCUCUCCUCCUUUUCUUUCUCCUUCUAAAAGGGGUGGGAGCGAGAGGUGCCCUUCUGGAGUCCAAAAUGUGGCCGGGGGGCGCUGGGCUUUACCUGACCCUAUUUGAAUGCCAAUUUCGUUUCAGGCAAUUGCUUCUUUGCCAGCCAAAAAUCGGUUUUGAAUCGCCAGGGCUACCUUUUUUUUAAAGGAGAAGCUUUUGAUGUUGCCCCUGUUUUCAAACUGCCACCGAAAGGCAUCUCCUAGAUGGGAGGGAUUUUCCUGACCCUUUGGAGUUGUAGGUGCCCCCCAAUCUGUGAUGUUUUCCUCUGCGUUGCACCUUCAGCCGGUCAAGGGGACUAAUAGAGGGCAGCUGCGUAAGUGAGGACCUUCUAAACACAGUCGGGGAGUUUCGGCAGCCUUUUGGCAACCCGGCCAAGGCCAGAGGUGACCACAUAAUAUUUCAACUUCCACCAUCUUCAGAUGUCUGUUCUUCUUGGAGGCGGACUACUCACCAGUGGCCAGAAAGCGCUUUAGAAAAACCAGCCCUCACCUUGGACCCUAGCCUUCAACACACUCAGUUUGGAGAUACACCCCUCAGCGUCCAAGUACUCCUCGCCUCCUGGUCUAUCUGCCCGGAGCUGACCCUUCCGCGGUGACAAAACGCGCCUGUCUGCGUGAUAAUGACCUUUGCUCGCUGCUGUCGGGGCUGGAGUGCCGCGCCAGGAGCGCUUAGAGCCACCCAAACCUUGGACGAGGGGGGCGGGAGAGGGAGGAGUGCGGGCAACCGAUAGGGAAGAGGGAGUAGCUAACAUGUAUGUUUAAAGAGGUUUCCUAAAAACUUUUACAGAUGUCACAUAAGAGAAGGAAGGAAGACUGAGUUUAAAAAAAAAAAAAAAAAAAAAGUAUGUUUACUCUUCGUGCCACGCCAGACGCGGAGGAAAACGUUGGCACUGGAUUGUUAUGCGAUGUAUUCUGUAAAAUGCCAUCUAUUUGCAUGACUGUGUGAUGGUCAGGACAUUUCUCUCCCAUUGCACAACCCCCUUAGGAAAACUGCGGGCAGUUUAAGAGUUUUCUAGUUCUUCCUGAUCGGAAAAGAUAUUCAUCCAAAGACAUUAUCUAAAUUUGCGAAAGAAUGAAGGCUGCUUGUCAUGCGUCCUUCGUCUCCAGUAAUAUGUGCCGCCCAAUUAGAAGCAAUUUAAGCAAUCAAGGCCGUUAUGAGAGAAGGGGGUGUUAAAAAUAGGUUUUCUAUAGCCUCAGAACUCUAAUUCGGAAGAAAAUCUA